AUUAUCAAUUAAUUAUCUUUAGAUAAUAACCAUUACAUUAUAUAUCAAUUUCUUUGUGAAACACAAAUUAUAUAAUAAUUAAAUAAACAACACUUUAGAAAAAAACCAGGAUUAGAUACCCUGUUAUUCUAAAAAAUCUAAUACUCUAAGGAAAUAAAUUAAACCUAGUAAAUUUGACGGUAUUAACUUUCACAAAGGAGUUUGUUCUAAAAUCGAAAACACACGUGAUAUCUUACUUAACAUAAUUAUUUGUAUACCUCCGUAUAGAAAUUAUUUCAAAUUAAUUUCAAAAAGAUUAAAUUCAAAAUAUCAGGUCAAGGUGCAGUAUUGUUAAGCUAUUAUGAACUACAAUAAUAUAUUAUAUUCGAAUAAUUAUCUGAAAUACUAUUUUGAAGAAGGAUUUGUAAGUAAAUAUAUAUCAACAUGAUACAUUGAGAAAUUCCAUUAAUAUG
rnacentral:rRNA from 1 species